rnacentral:lncRNA from 1 species
UGUUGCCAUAGCCCCCUCCUCAACUGCAGCAGACCCCUCCCUCAUGGCAUAGCCCCUCCCCCCAUAGCAAUAGGCACUUUUCCUCUCUUGCAAUAAUCCUUUAGAAUCAGGUCUCUCCUUACCGAAGUUUAGAUUGUGUUUUUAUUUGACAUUGGAUAUGCACCAGAGAGAGCUCUGAGGGAGACCAUGGGGAUGUACUUGGGGGAUGUACUUGGGGGAUGGGGCAUCUUUGGGAGCUCGGGGCACCCCUCCUUUAGCAAGUCCUGAUCUACCUGUGGAGUUCCAGGUUAGAGGUUGGGUGAUGGGACUGAGGGGGAGGCAGUGAUUGGGAUGAGGGGGAGGGGAAGGAGCCAUAGGAUUCUCUCCACUGAAGUCAUGGGAAUCUGGAACCUCCCCUGAUGUCUGUGAUGUCAAUCCCAAACAUGAACACACUGGGUCUCCCCCACCCCCAAAAAACACACACCGACAGGUACCCUAUUCAUCGCAGAAACUCUGAGUCCUGACCAAACACACUCAGAACAUUUUGCCUUCUUGAACUGGGCCCCUCUGUUCAGGGUCCUGGUGAAGGCUCAUUUAGGGGAAUUUCAUUCUUAAAACCCCAGCAUGCCUGUUUUCAGCAGCUCCCAUCUCCCCAGAUGAGUUCCCUGUGGUCUCUGACUCCCUGACUUCAGACAGAAAAUCCAGCCUGCAUGGGUUCGAUUGUGGAUCUUGGGAAGGUUUACUGCUCUGUCUCCCAGCCCCAUGGGGAGCAUCCCUGCAGGCUGACAGGGAUGACCUCUGAAGACCCAGGGAAGCUGAGAGAUGCUCACCUGAACCUGAGGUGGAGACCAUGAACCUGACGGCCAGAUGGGGCCUGUUAUCUGCUGGCAGCUGAUGAAAUUUCCAGAUUGAGGAUCCUCCCUUUUAGAUAGAAGUUCUUGAAGGUGUCAGGGAAACGAGAUGUGGUUCACUUUUCCUUGGCUUCAUCCUCUGGAGGAACCAGGGUCUCCAGGAAUGAUGCUCUUACCACAGCACCAUGGUGACGAGAACCAGAACUCCCAGGCCCCCUCUCAAGCAGGACUUGGAGCCACUGGGCAGCAUCUCCUGGGACAACGCAGCCAUUCCGAGGUCUGAG